CGUGCGCAUGCGUGGCCAGCGAGGUCCAGGGGCGCAGUGGGGGGAGCCCCCGGGUGGACAUCGGCCCCUUGCCUACGCAGGGCCGCCGCGAGGAUUUUCGGAGGGUCCGCCGCCGGGUCUGGGGAACCCAGCCUUCCAUGCCAAUCUACCGCUAGCUGGAGCUGCCCCAGCCCCGCUGGUCAGGGACCCUGGGUGAGGGCCAGCUUUCCGGUUAGCAUCACCUGGGGGGAGCAGGAGCGAGAGUAGGCCUCAAAAAUGACGUAAAAAGGCGCAGGCGACUCCUGUGUGCACUGUUGGGAGAGCUGUGAUUUAUCUAUCUAUCAGUGGGCUUUCCCUGCUCUCUGGCUGGUUCUGAGGGCUGGACCUCGCUCCCCGCCACUGCCACCCCCACCCCCCAGGAUUCAGUGGUCUCCUGCUGCUAUCAGAAGUGGCAUCUCAGGCCUGCCACUUGCUUUUGGAGUUGGGUGCAGAAGUGUCCUGACUCUCAGCCCCUUGGAAGGCCCAGGUGAUUCCUGUGCCCCACAAGACUGAGAGGCGCUGCUUCAAGAGAUUACAGCUGAAUAGAAAAAGAAAAGUCGGAAAAUGAUAGCAGUGAAAUUGACUCUUUUGUCAGCUGUCGUGUCGCUGGAUUUUCACUUUAGGACCUGAACGCAGAACUUACUUACUUCCUACUGUAGAUGGCACUUUUCUCUGAGGACUCAUGCCUCACUCAUUUCUGGAACAAUUUAUGCCGAGGAUCAAGACCAUCUCUCCAGGGCUGUUUCUUUGCCUGAAGAUAAGAGGACACAAGUGGGUGACCUUCACAUUUUUUUCUCUAUGGAAUUGCCUGGUGUAGACAGAAAAACCCAACUGCAAAAACCUAACAAAGCACACAGAAGCUGUUACGACGUUGGAGGAUGAGCUGGGUGAAAAUUAGAUUAUGACCUGGAGCUCUGACUGUAGAAUUGAUUACUAUAAGGUGUUAUAAAACAGCAUUUUUAGGAGAUGAAUAAAACUUUGUAAAGUACUACUGUCAAAUGAUUUAGCAAAAGCAUGUAUUCUCAGGAUGUUAAAAUUGCUGAAAUUGCAAAGCCUGCUCACUAGGUGGGGAUCCAUGCCUGGUCCUGAAGGCUUACUGCUUGUGGCUGGAGAGGACACAGACCCCAGCUGAGAACCUUCUGUUGUUUUCCGAAACCAAUGUAAUUCCUAGCUAUAUUGCAACUACGUACAACCCUAUAUGUGUAGCUAUCACUGCCCAUCAAAGACAGCUCUCUCUGUAGCAGAGAGAAGCUAUUUCAGAGACCCCCAGCUGGUCACAGUGCAGAAGGUAAUUGAGUGUGGGGUUCUCAGCCCCAGCUGGUCCAUCUACACUGUGAGAUCCCUAUGUGAGGCUCAGCCCCAGCUGGUCCAUCUACACUGUGAGAUCCCUAUGUGAGGCUCAGCCCCAGCUGGUCCAUCUACACUGCGAUCCCUGUGUGAGGCUCAGUGAGCAUCAUGGAAGAAGGUGCAGGAUGAUUGUUAGAAUCAGAGGACCUGGACACCUGCUGCUAGACAGUGUCUCCUGGACAUGGCAUGGAUACAGCCCCAUGAAAUCUCACCUACCUGGCUGUCUAAACAAGACCUACCCCAAGACCAACGUGCCGAGGUGGAUGGAGGAAGUUUCACAAGGUACCACUCCUGAAGUGCUACAAGCUAGCAGUGUCUGCUGAGAGAAAGAAUCCAUUUUCUCUGUGACAGGUCCCCGAUACCCAAUCCCAAGUGGUCAAUACACUCUGUAGGUCAUGUGUAGGUGUGAAUGUGUAUGUAUGCAUGUAUAAAACAACAGUUCUAGAGGAGAUUAUGCACUUUGGAGUCAUAGAUACAGGAGGAGCUGGAGAGGGAAGAAGGAGGCAUGGGAAUGAGGUAAAUACAUUUUUAUGU
rnacentral:lncRNA from 1 species